UACGAAGGAUGCAAGCGUUAUCCGGAUUCACUGGGUUAAAGGGUGUGCAGGUGGGGUAAUAAGUCAGUGGUGAAAGCCCCCGACUCAAUCGGGGAACUGCCAUAGAUACUGUUAUUCUUGAGUGUGGUUGAGGCGGAUGGAAUAUGACAUGUAGCGGUGAAAUGCUUAGAUAUGUCAUAGAACACCAAUCGCGAAGGCAGUCCGCCAAACCAUUACUGACACUGAAACACGAAAGUGCGGGAUCAAACAGG
rnacentral:rRNA from 1 species